UGCCCUGUCGGUGUGGUUAGCACUUUGGACUUUGAAUCCAGCAAUCCGAGUUCAAAUCUCGGUGGGACCU
rnacentral:tRNA from 1 species